rnacentral:rRNA from 1 species
UACAGGGGGUGCAAACGUUGCUCGGAAUUAUUGGGCGUAAAGCGCGCGUAGGCGGCUACUUAAGUCGGAUGUGAAAGCCCUUGGCUCAACUGAGGAAGUGCACCCGAAACUGAGUGGCUUGAGUACUAAAGAGGGUCGCGGAAUUCCCGGUGUAGAGGUGAAAUUCGUAGAUAUCUGGAGGAACACCGGUGGCGAAGGCGGCAUCCUGGACCGGCAUUGACGCUGAGUGAGCGAAAGCCAGGGGAGCAAACGGG